rnacentral:rRNA from 1 species
GUGGGGAAUAUUGGACAAUGGGCGCAAGCCUGAUCCAGCAAUGCCGCGUGGGUGAAGAAGGCCUUCGGGUUGUAAAGCCCUUUUGUUGGGAAAGAAAUCCUGUCGAUUAAUACUCGGUGGGGAUGACGGUACCCAAAGAAUAAGCACCGGCUAACUUCGUGCCAGCAGCCGCGGUAAUACGAAGGGUGCAAGCGUUACUCGGAAUUACUGGGCGUAAAGCGUGCGUAGGUGGUGGUUUAAGUCUGCUGUGAAAGCCCUGGGCUCAACCUGGGAAUUGCAGUGGAUACUGGAUCACUAGAGUGUGGUAGAGGGAUGCGGAAUUUCUGGUGUAGCAGUGAAAUGCGUAGAGAUCAGAAGGAACAUCCGUGGCGAAGGCGGCAUCCUGGGCCAACACUGACACUGAGGCACGAAAGCGUGGGGAGCAAACAGGAUUAGAUACCCUAGUAGUCC